rnacentral:rRNA from 1 species
CGAGGCGAACCGGGGAAACUGAAACAUCUCAGUACCCCGAGAAAAAGAAAUCAACCGAGAUUCCCCCAGUAGCGGCGAGCGAACGGGGAGCAGCCCAGAGUCAACAUCAAUAUUUACCACAGGAGAAGGGUCUGGAAAAGCCGGCAAUAAAGGGUGAUAGCCCCGUAUCUAAAGCGGUAAGUGUUGUGAACUCGAAGAGUAGGGCGGGACACGUGUUAUCCUGUCUGAAUAUGGGGGACCAUCCUCCAAGGCUAAAUACUCCUGACUGACCGAUAGUGAACCAGUACCGUGAGGGAAAGGCGAAAAGAACCCCGGCGAGGGGAGUGAAAUAGAACCUAAAACCGUGUACGUACAAGCAGUAGGAGCACCCGAAAGGGUGUGACUGCGUACCUUUUGUAUAAUGAGUCAGCGACUUAUAUUCUGUAGCAAGGUUAACCGCAUAGGAGAGCCGUAGGGAAACCGAGUCUUAACUGGGCGUUAAGUUGCAGGGUAUAGACCCGAAACCCGGUGAUCUAGCCAUAAGCAGGUUGAAG